rnacentral:rRNA from 1 species
AUUGAACGCUAGCGGCAUGCCUUACACAUGCAAGUCGAACGGAGUGGCGAACGGGUGAGUAAUGUAUCGGAAUGUGCCCAGUCGCGGGGGAUAACUACGCGAAAGGGUAGCUAAUACCGCAUACUAUUGGAGUGGCCUGUAUCGGAUUAGCUAGUUGGUGGGGUAAAGGCUCACAAGGGCGACGAUCCGUAGCUGGUCUGAGAGGAUGACCAGUCACACUGGAACUGAGACACGGCCCAGACUCCUACGGGAGGCAGCAGUGGGGAAUAUUGGACAAUGGGGGAAAGCCUGAUGCAGCCAUCCCGCGUGUGCGAUGAAGGCCUUCGGGUUGUAAAGCACUUUUAGCAGGGAAGCGGUACCUGCAGAAUAAGCACCGGCUAACUACGUGCCAGCAGCCGCGGUAAUAC